UUCAUGGAGAGUUUGAUCCUGGCUCAGGACGAACGCUGGCGGCGUGCCUAAUACAUGCAAGUCGAGCGAAUCUYGAGGUGCUUGCACCUCUUGGUUAGCGGCGGACGGGUGAGUAACACGUGGGCAACCUGCCUGUAAGACUGGGAUAACAUCGGGAAACCGAUGCUAAUACCGGAUAAUCCUUUUCCUCUCAUGAGGGAAAGCUGAAAGUCGGCUUCUCGCUGACACUUACAGAUGGGCCCGCGGCGCAUUAGCUAGUUGGUGAGGUAACGGCUCACCAAGGCGACGAUGCGUAGCCGACCUGAGAGGGUGAUCGGCCACACUGGGACUGAGACACGGCCCAGACUCCUACGGGAGGCAGCAGUAGGGAAU
rnacentral:ncRNA from 1 species